rnacentral:misc_RNA from 1 species
AAAAAUGGGAGUCUUAUUGAUGGAUUCCUUAUGCAUCGUGUAAAGUUUUGUAAAGGGGAUUUGUUGCACAUAUAGUGAGCAUUUAAAAUAUCCCUCAUUAU